AUUGAACGCUGGCGGAAUGCUUUACACAUGCAAGUCGAACGGUAACGCGGGGCAACCUGGCGACGAGUGGCGAACGGGUGAGUAAUGCAUCGGAACGUGCCCAGUAGUGGGGGAUAGCCCGGCGAAAGCCGGAUUAAUACCGCAUACGACCUAAGGGUGAAAGCGGGGGAUCGUAAGGCAUCGCGCUAUUGGAGCGGCCGAUGUCAGAUUAGGUUGUUGGUGGGGUAAAAGCCUACCAAGCCGACGAUCUGUAGCUGGUCUGAGGGGACGACCAGCCACACUGGGACUGAGACACGGCCCAGACUCCUACGGGAGGCAGCAGUGGGGAAUUUUGGACAAUGGGGGCAACCCUGAUCCAGCCAUGCCGCGUGCGGGAAGAAGGCCUUCGGGUUGUAAACCGCUUUUGUCAGGGAAGAAACGCGCUGAGCUAAUAUCUCGGCGUAAUGACGGUACCUGAAGAAUAAGCACCGGCUAACUACGUGCCAGCAGCCGCCGUAA
rnacentral:rRNA from 1 species